GAUGAACGCUGGCGGCGUGCUUAACACAUGCAAGUCGAACGAUGAAGCCCAGCUUGCUGGGUGGAUUAGUGGCGAACGGGUGAGUAACACGUGAGUAACCUGCCCUUGACUCUGGGAUAAGCCCGGGAAACUGGGUCUAAUACCGGAUAGGAGCGCCUGUCGCAUGACGGGUGUUGGAAAGAUUUUUCGGUCAUGGAUGGACUCGCGGCCUAUCAGCUUGUUGGUGAGGUAAUGGCUCACCAAGGCGACGACGGGUAGCCGGCCUGAGAGGGUGACCGGCCACACUGGGACUGAGACACGGCCCAGACUCCUACGGGAGGCAGCAGUGGGGAAUAUUGCACAAUGGGCGGAAGCCUGAUGCAGCGACGCCGCGUGAGGGAUGACGGCCUUCGGGUUGUAAACCUCUUUCAGUAGGGAAGAAGCGAAAGUGACGUACCUGCAGA
rnacentral:rRNA from 1 species